rnacentral:rRNA from 1 species
AUUGAACGCUGGCGGCAGGAUUAACACAUGCAAGUCGAGCGAGCGGCGGACUGGUGAGUAAUGUCUGGGAAACUGCCUGAUGGAGGGGGAUAACUACUGGAAACGGUAGCUAAUACCCCAUACCAUCGCAUGUGCCCAGAUUGGAGUAGCUAGUCGUGUGGGUAAAGGCUCACCUAGGCGACGAUCCCUAGCUGGUCGGAGAGGAUGACCAGCCAAACUGGAACUGAGACACGGUCCAGACUCCUACGGGAGGCAGCAGUGGGGAAUAUUGCACAAUGGGCGCAAGCCUGAUGCAGCCAUGCCGCGUGUAUGAAGAAGGCCGUCGGGUUGUAAAGUACUUUCAGCGGGGAGGCGUUACCCGCAGAAGAAGCACCGGCUAACUCCGUGCCAGCCGCCGCGGUAAUAC